UGCGUAGGCGGCUUUUUAAGUCGGAUGUGAAAUCCCUGAGCUUAACUUAGGAAUUGCAUUCGAUACUGGGAAGCUAGAGUAUGGGAGAGGAUGGUAGAAUUCCAGGUGUAGCGGUGAAAUGCGUAGAGAUCUGGAGGAAUACCGAUGGCGAAGGCAGCCAUCUGGCCUAAUACUGACGCUGAGGCGCGAAAGCGUGGGGAGCAAACA
rnacentral:rRNA from 1 species